rnacentral:rRNA from 1 species
CACUGGUACUCGAGUGGCGAACGGGUGAGUAACACGUGGGUGAUCUGCCUUGCACUCUGGGAUAAGCUUGGGAAACUGGGUCUAAUACCGGAUAGGAACCGUCUUUAGUGUGGUGGUUGGAAAGUUUUUUCGGUGUAGGAUGAGCUCGCGGCCUAUCAGCUUGUUGGUGGGGUAAUGGCCUACCAAGGCGGCGACGGGUAGCCGGCCUGAGAGGGUGGACGGCCACAUUGGGACUGAGAUACGGCCCAG